UACGUAGGGUGCGAGCGUUAAUCGGAAUUACUGGGCGUAAAGCGUGCGCAGGCGGUUGUGUAAGACAGGUGUGAAAUCCCCGGGCUUAACCUGGGAACUGCGCUUGUGACUGCACAGCUAGAGUAUGGCAGAGGGGGGUGGAAUUCCACGUGUAGCAGUGAAAUGCGUAGAUAUCAGGAGGAACACCGAUGGCGAAGGCAGGUCUCUGGGCUGACACUGACGCUCAUGCACGAAAGCGUGGGGAGCAAACAGG
rnacentral:rRNA from 1 species